UGCAUGAACAUCUCCGUGAUGUCCGCUG
rnacentral:sRNA from 1 species